UAGGGGUGAAAUCGGUAGAUAUCAGGAAGAACACCUGUGGCGAAGGCGAGCUUCUGGCCAAUGAACUGACGCUGAAGGCGCGAAAGCGUGGGGAGCGAACAGGAUUAGAUACCCUGGUAGUCCACGCUGUAUACGAUGUGCACUAGGUGUUGGUUGUAGAAAUGAUCGGUGCCGAAGCAUACGCGAUAAGUGCACCGCCUGGGGAGUAUGCUCGCAAGGGUGAAACUCAAAGGAAUUGACGGGGGCCCGCACAAGCGGUGGAGCAUGUGGUUUAAUUCGAUGAUACGCGAGGAACCUUACCAGGGCUUGACAUAUGCAUGACGGUCGUAGAGAUACGGCUUCCCUUCGGGGCGUGUAUACAGGUGCUGCAUGGUUGUCGUCAGCUCGUGCUGUGAGGUGUUGGGUUAAGUCCCGCAACGAGCGCAACCCCUGCUGUCUGUUGCCAGCAUUUCGGAUGGGGACUCAGACGGUACUGCCGGUGACAAACCGGAGGAAGGUGGGGAUGACGUCAAAUCAUCAUGGCCCUUAUGUCCUGGGCUACACACGUGCUACAAUGGCCGGUACAGAGCGACGCGAAACCGCGAGGUGGAGCAAAUCGCAGAAAGCUGGUCUCAGUACGGAUUGGAGUCUGAAACCCGACUUCAUGAAGUUGGAAUCGCUAGUAAUCGCGCAUCAGCAUGGCGCGGUGAUACGUUCCCGGGCCUUGUACACACCGCCCGUCACACCACCCGAGUUGGGGGUACCCGAAGUUGCUCGUCUAACCGGUUACGGAGGACGGUACCGAAGUAUGCCUGUAAGGGGG
rnacentral:rRNA from 1 species